CCUACGGGAGGCAGCAGUGGGGAAUAUUGCACAAUGGGGGAAACCCUGAUGCAGCGACGCCGCGUGAGUGAAGAAGUAUUUCGGUAUGUAAAGCUCUAUCAGCAGGGAAGAAAAUGACGGUACCUGACUAAGAAGCCCCGGCUAACUACGUGCCAGCAGCCGCGGUAAUACGUAGGGGGCAAGCGUUAUCCGGAUUUACUGGGUGUAAAGGGAGCGUAGACGGCCAGACAAGUCAGAAGUGAAAGCCCAGGGCUCAACCCUGGGACUGCUUUUGAAACUGCCGGGCUGGAGUGCAGGAGAGGUAAGCGGAAUUCCUAGUGUAGCGGUGAAAUGCGUAGAGAUCAAGAGGAAUACUCAUUGCGAAGGCGACCUGCUAGAACAUAACUGACGCUGAUGCGCGAAAGCGUGGGGAGCAAACAGGAUUAGAUACCCUGGUAGUC
rnacentral:rRNA from 1 species